rnacentral:lncRNA from 1 species
GGGGUUCGUAUAGGCAGGGAGCACAGGCGUAAGGCUGAGAUCGGCUUCCCUAGAGCCUUUCAAACUGGAUGGACCUGCACUUGUUGCUUAAAUGUCUUGAGGCCUGUGUUUCCACAUCUGGGAAAUGGGGAAAUUGUGGUGUUUGCUGUGAAGCUUCCUCAUUGGCUGAUGAACUCAUCUGGUGUUCCUAAGACCAACACCUUCAGUCCCAUUUCACAAAGUCCAAAUCACAAAGGAGGAAACUAUUUAUUUGAUGAAUGCUGUAUUGAAGGAGACUUAGGAGGUGUGUCGUAACACCACCCAUCUAGAAGACCCCAGGAGAACUGAAUACCCCCAGUAGCUUUCAUCAUUCAGUGGCCAAAAGCACCACAACGUUUGUUGUCUUCUGAUUUCUGAGUUGUAAUGUGUUGGUAUCCAGGAGGCUCUUCUUCCCUUUAUACCUCACGAUGGUCCAAAGAAGACCAGAUACAGAAGAAAAAGAUUCAAGGAGAAGGCCUCUGUAAGACACAGUCAAAGUGCUAUUUAAGGAUAAGCCCGUAAUCAAAUGCUCCAUACCAUCUGUUUGAGAGUUUUUUGAGACUGGGAUCACUGUCUGGAACCACAGGCCGCCCUCUGAAGGCUGGAGAGGUGGUGACAGCUGAACAAAUGAUGGCGCUACGAGUCCAUGGGUUAGGUUACCUGGGCAUGGGAAUCCCCAUAUAGCCAAUGCCUUCUCGGGUAUUAAGUGUCAGAUAAACACAGCUCCUCAACUGCUA